GAUGAACGCUGGCGGCGUGCCUAACACAUGCAAGUCGAGCGAAAAGACGAUGAUCUUGUUCCGCUGACGUUAGCGGCGGGCGGGUGAGUAACACGUGGAUAACCUACUUAUAAUACUGGUAUAACCUCGGGAAACCGGAUCUAAUACCAUAGAAUAUACUGAACCGCAGUGGUGAAUAGUAAAAGUCGGCUUUUGUGGCUCGUAUCGAGGGUUACGGGCCGCAUUAGCUAGUUGGGAAGUUAAAGGCCUACCAAGGCGACGAUGCGUAGCCGAACUGAGAGGGUGUUAGCCGACAUUGGAACGUAGACGCGCUCAUGAGUACUACGGGAGGCAGCAGUAGGCAAUGUUAGGCAAAGGGCGAAAGUAUGACGGAGCAGCGCCGAGCGAGUGAUGAAGGUCUUCUGAGCGUAAAGAUCUGUUUUUAGGGAAGAACCAAUGUCUAAGUAGAUGUGCACGUCUUGACGGUACCUGAUCAGAAAGCCACGGCUAACUACGUG
rnacentral:rRNA from 1 species